UACGAGGGGGGCAAAUGUUGUUCGGAAUCACUGGGCGUAAAGGGAGCGUAGGCGGGUUUCUAAGUCAGGUGUUUAAUCCCGGGGCCCAACCCCGGACAGGCACUUGAAACUGGGAAUCUUGAAUAGUGGAGAGGUCAGUGGAAUUGGGGUGUAGCGGUGGAAUGCGUAGAGAUCCCCAAGAACACCAGUUGCGAAGGCGGCUGACUGGACACAUAUUGACGCUGAGGCUCGAAAGCAUGGGGAGCAAACAGGG
rnacentral:rRNA from 1 species